GAUGAACGCUGGCGGCGUGCCUAAUACAUGCAAGUCGAGCGAACAGACGAGGAGCUUGCUCCUCUGACGUUAGCGGCGGACGGGUGAGUAACACGUGGAUAACCUACCUAUAAGACUGGGAUCACUUCGGGAAACCGUAGCUAAUACCGGAUAAUAUAUUGAACCGCAUGGUUCAAUAGUGAAAGACGGUUUUGCUGUCACUCAUAGAUGGAUCCGCGCCGCAUUAGCUAGUUGGUAAGGUAACGGCUUACCAAGGCAACGAUGCGUAGCCGACCUGAGAGGGUGAUCGGCCACACUGGAACUGAGACACGGUCCAGACUCCUACGGGAGGCAGCAGUAGGGAAUCUUCCGCAAUGGGCGAAAGCUUGACGGAGCAACGCCGCGUGAGUGAUGAAGGUCUUCGGAUCGUAAAGCUCUGUUAUUAGGGAAGAACAAAUGUGUAAGUAACUAGGCACGUCUUGACGGUACCUAAUCAGAAAGCCACGGCUAACUACGUG
rnacentral:rRNA from 1 species